UUUGUCUUUUAAUUGAGGACUGGAAUGAAAGGUUGGACUAAAUAUUUUUGUCUUAUGAUAAUACUUUGAAAUUUAUUUUUUAGUAAAAAAGCUAAAAUUAAUUAUAAAGACGAGAAGACCCUAUCAAGUUUUACAAUUUUAGUUUAUUUUCAAAUUAAAUGUUAAAUUGUUUUGCUGGGGCAGCAGAUAAAAAUUUUUUAUCUAAAAAUUUUGAUAUAUAAAUCUUGAAAAAUCAAAAAAUUUUUAAUUAAGAAUAAAUUACUGUAGGGAUAACAGCAUAAUUUUUUUAAAGAGUUCUUAUCAUCAAAAAAGUUUGUGACCUCGAUGUUGGAUUAAAAUUCCUAAUUCGUGCAAUAAUGAAAAAAGGAAGUCUGUUCGACUUUUAAAUUUUUCCA
rnacentral:rRNA from 1 species